rnacentral:misc_RNA from 1 species
GGACGAAGUGUAUGCUAUGCUGAUGGAGUGUUUGACUCUCGUUUUAACCGUUAUGUGACAGUGAGAGAAGAUCAACGUGAAAGUGGUAUAAAUGCGAUUACCACAAUUGUGUCUAUUGCUCUGAGCAGUAACAGCGAUCAAGAACCAAGGCUGUUAGUUGGGGGCAAUGACUUUUAUGCUUCUCCUCGGAUUGACCCCAAAGGGGACCGUAUCGCAUGGAUUGAAUGGGGUCACCCAAAUAUGCCAUGGGACAGAUCGGAGCUUUGGGUUGGUUAUAUA